rnacentral:rRNA from 1 species
UUUGAGUGAGUGGCGGACGGGUGAGUAACACGUGGGUAACCUGCCCUAAAGUGGGGGAUAACAUUUGGAAACAGAUGCUAAUACCGCAUAAAACCUAACACCGCAUGGUGUAGGGUUGAAAGAUGGUUUCGGCUAUCACUUUAGGAUGGACCCGCGGUGCAUUAGUUAGUUGGUGAGGUAAAGGCUCACCAAGACCGUGAUGCAUAGCCGACCUGAGAGGGUAAUCGGCCACACUGGGACUGAGACACGGCCCAGACUCCUACGGGAGGCAGCAGUAGGGAAUCUUCCACAAUGGACGAAAGUCUGAUGGAGCAACGCCGCGUGAGUGAAGAAGGUUUUCGGAUCGUAAAACUCUGUUGUUGGAGAAGAAUGUAUCUGAUAGUAACUGAUCAGGUAGUGACGGUAUCCAACCAGAAAGCCACGGCUAACUACGUGCCAGCAGCCGCGGUAAUACGUAGGUGGCAAGCGUUGUCCGGAUUUAUUGGGCGUAAAGCGAGCGCAGGCGGUUUCUUAAGUCUGAUGUGAAAGCCUUCGGCUCAACCGAAGAAGUGCAUCGGAAACUGGGAAACUUGAGUGCAGAAGAGGACAGUGGAACUCCAUGUGUAGCGGUGAAAUGCGUAGAUAUAUGGAAGAACACCAGUGGCGAAGGCGGCUGUCUGGUCUGUAACUGACGCUGAGGCUCGAAAGCAUGGGUAGCAAACAGGAUUAGAUACCCUGGUAGUCCAUGCCGUAAACGAUGAGUGCUAGGUGUUGGAGGGUUUCCGCCCUUCAGUGCCGCAGCUAACGCAUUAAGCACUCCGCCUGGGGAGUACGACCGCAAGGUUGAAACUCAAAGGAAUUGACGGGGGCCCGCACAAGCGGUGGAGCAUGUGGUUUAAUUCGAAGCAACGCGAAGAACCUUACCAGGUCUUGACAUCCUUUGACCACUCUAGAGAUAGAGCUUUCCCUUCGGGGACAAAGUGACAGGUGGUGCAUGGUUGUCGUCAGCUCGUGUCGUGAGAUGUUGGGUUAAGUCCCGCAACGAGCGCAACCCUUAUUACUAGUUGCCAGCAUUUAGUUGGGCACUCUAGUGAGACUGCCGGUGACAAACCGGAGGAAGGUGGGGACGACGUCAAAUCAUCAUGCCCCUUAUGACCUGGGCUACACACGUGCUACAAUGGAUGGUACAACGAGUUGCGAGACCGCGAGGUUUAGCUAAUCUCUUAAAACCAUUCUCAGUUCGGAUUGUAGGCUGCAACUCGCCUACAUGAAGCCGGAAUCGCUAGUAAUCGCGGAUCAGCAUGCCGCGGUGAAUACGUUCCCGGGCCUUGUACACACCGCCCGUCACACCAUGAGAGUU